UGCACCACAUGUGUUUUUCUUUGAAACAAACUUGCUUUGGCGGUGGGCCCAGCCUGCCGCCAGAGGUCUAAACUUACAACCAAUUUUUUAUCAACUUGUCACACCAGAUUAUUACUUAAUAGUCAAAACUUUCAACAACGGAUCUCUUGGUUCUCGCAUCGAUGAAGAACGCAGCGAAAUGCGAUACGUAAUAUGAAUUGCAGAUAUUCGUGAAUCAUCGAAUCUUUGAACGCACAUUGCGCCCUCUGGUAUUCCGGAGGGCAUGCCUGUUUGAGCGUCGUUUCUCCCUCAAACCGCUGGGUUUGGUGUUGAGCAAUACGACUUGGGUUUGCUUGAAAGACGGUAGUGGUAAGGCGGGAUCGCUUUGACAAUGGCUUAGGUCUAACCAAAAACAUUGCUUGCGGCGGUAACGUCCACCACGUAUAUCUUCAAACUUUGACCUCAAAUCAGGUAGGACUACCCGCUGAACUUAAGCAUAUCAAAAACCGGGGAAAAAAAAGGUGCCUUUACUGAAUUUGCUUUAUUUGCACACAAUGUGUUUUUUGCUUUUGAAACAAACUUGCUUCUGGCGGUGGGCCCAGCCUGCCGCCAGAGGUCUAAACUUACAACCAAUUUUUUAUCAACUUGUCACACCAGAUUAUUACUUAAUAGUCAAAACUUUCAC
rnacentral:rRNA from 1 species